GGCGGCGUGGAUAAGACAUGCAAGUCGAACGGGGUAUUAUUUGUAGCAAUAUAAAUGAUACCCAGUGGCGCAAGGGUGUGUAACACGUGGGCAAUCUACCGAAAAGUGGGGAAUAGCUCGCCGAAAGGCGAAUUAAUACCGCAUAUGGCUAGGGGAGACAUCUUCUCAACGCCAAAGCCGGGGCAACCUGGCGCUUUCCGAUGAGCCCGCGGCCUAUCAGCUAGUUGGCGGGGUAACGGCCCACCAAGGCUAUGACGGGUAGCUGGUCUGAGAGGACGACCAGUCACACUGGAACUGAGACACGGUCCAGACACCUACGGGUGGCAGCAGUCGAGAAUUUUUCUCAAUGGGGGAAACCCUGAAGGAGCGACGCCGCGUGGAGGAUGAAGGUCUUCGGAUUGUAAACUCCUGUCAUUCGAGAACAAGGUUCGCGGAGUAACUGCCGUCGGACUCGAUAGUAUCGAAAGANGAAGGGACGGCUAACUCUGUGCCAGCAGCCGCGGUAAUACAGA
rnacentral:rRNA from 1 species